GAUGAAGAACGCAGCGAAAUGCGAUAAGUAGUGUGAAUUGCAGAAUUCAGUGAAUCAUCGAAUCUUUGAACGCACAUUGCGCCUUCUAGUAUUCUGGGAGGCAUGCCUGUUUGAGCGUCAUUAAACCUCUCUCAAGUAUGAUUACUUGGAUGUGAAGGAAGAGUACCUUAAACUUAAGGAGUGUUCUCCUUUGAAAUUGAUUAGCAGAUGGUAAUGUUAUUAAAUCCCUGAUGUUGUAAGAAAUAACAGUGGUUUUGUAGACUAUUAUCUAGCUUUAAAUUAUAAUUUUUAUUAUGGUUGACCUCAAAUCAGGUAAGGAUACCCGCUAAACUUAAGCAUAUCAAUAAGCGGAGGA
rnacentral:misc_RNA from 1 species